rnacentral:tRNA from 1 species
GAGAUGAUAGUAUAUUUUUAGUAUGUUUUAUUUUCGUUAAAAUGGAUUGAGUCUUAU